GGGUAGGCAAUAUAAUAAAAAUACAUUUCAAAAAUAUGUUCUUCAUGAUAAAUAUUUUUGACCUAUCAAAAAUUUGAGGUUCAAAAAAAUUUUAGUGGUAGGGAUUUAUUUUAUUUUUUAGCUUUUAAUUUUUACCAUAGUAGGGCCGCCACUAUAUUAUGGUUUGUUUGUUGAGUUUUUCUACUAUCUAACUAACGAACUAAGCGAAAGAUAACGUCAUUGUCCAAAAUUAUUUCCAUACCUUAAUAUUACCUAUGAUGAUACUAACCUAUGUUUUUAUUUACGUAGUUUGUACCAUGUACAUACUUCUUGAUCAAAGCUAUAGCAAUCUGCUAAAAAAAUUAUUACAGUUAUGUGAACUAUAGAAAUAGGACUCUUAGAAAAUUCCAUCUAGCCCUUAGACAUAUAGAAUCCCUGCCUACGCUAAUUGUACAGAAACUCGUGAAUAAUUAUGUCACCAAAUUUUGAGGUCUGUUAAAUAUGCGCAUGCGCGAGAUUUGAAAUUUUGUUUUUAACCAAUGGCAGCUCUAAUUGGAAAUUCUGACGUUUGACCCAUAAGGCCUUAUGGCUCCCAACAACCAACAUGGCCGCUGUCAAGUUGUUAAUGUUUGGAUGCUGCACUGGAAACAUCUAAAUGGAAAAAAUGUUCAACAAGCAUCUCAUGUAUAGACAGAAUGCUCAUUCUUUCAUCGCAAGUCUAGUAAUUGCAGAAACUUUCGCCUCCCAAAUAUAUUAUUACGAAAAUUACCAAUGGACAAUUUCGUUAGAAAUGCUCAGAAUUUUUUAAAAGUAUGCACACUCCAGCCUUGUUUUAUAGACAAGAUUGUGGUUUAUGCCACAACUACGACUUACGUAUAAUUAUAAUAGCAUUUUAUAUAGUGUUUUAUUAACUCGUUUUGAAGUUCACAGAAGAUAUAGUUGGAGAAUAAACACAACGUAAAAAUAUAAAUGAAUAAAUACAUGAAUUAUUUAAUAAGGCCUUUAUUGAAAAGAAUAA